rnacentral:lncRNA from 12 species
GGACAGUGUAGGAAAGUGUUCCACGUGAAAACGUCUAGAAGUCCCAGGCGAAGGUUAGCUCUCAGGCAACCUAAUGCUGGCCAAGACACUGAGCCUCCCUGGCCUCAGUUUCUGCAUCUGUAAAGCAGGGAUGCUGAGAGAAUUAGAGACAACAUAUAAAGUCUACUGCGGUGCUUAGCACACAUCAGGCCCUCAAGCACUGGUCAUUUCUUGCUGCGUUUUGUCACCAGAAUGGUGCUCACCCUCCUUCCUGGAUCUCACCACCCACACCCAGGGAAGCCACCUGCUUGUCAUUCUCUUGAAACCAGUCCCAGACCUGGUUUCUCUCUCUAUUCUGCCUGACAAGCCCCCAGAAUCACUUCUGGGUUGUUGGUUUUUUUUUUUUUUUUCUUUCUCCUUUUCCCCUGGGGGCCUUUUAAUUUCUUCCUCUGUAUCAUAAACACAAAACAAGUGUUUAAACGUCUGCCUCAAAGGCAAUCUGGGAAGCAGAGCGACUCUUACAUAAAGACCAGAUGAAGCCCACGCUCGCCAGAAGGGCCAUCUGGAUGCUGGCUCUGCCACCCUUCCUUCUCGCCCUCCGCUUGGGAACCGCUGUGAGCACGUAAUUAAGGACUGUGAUGAGGAGCUGGAGAGAGCAGCCUGGUGGGGAGCCUCGUGCAGGUUAACUGCCCAGUUGCCCUGGCCUUGGGUGGCCACUGCUGCAAGCCAGGCUCCCCCUCCCUUCCCUUCCACCUCCCAGCGCCACGGUCCUCCCCCACUGGGGUCCUGGCAGCAGAGGAGGAGCCCUGCUGGCAAAGAAGCUGCAGGAGAGUGGGGCCACCGCACAGAGACGGUGACUCCCCCAGACACUGGGGACACACAGCCUGGGUGUGGAUCUCAGCACCACUACUUCCCGCCUUUAACUGUGUCACGUGAGCCCAAGAACCCAGAAAACCAAAUCAUAAGAGCUGGUGCUUCAUUCAAGGACCGCUUUACAACGGAUGCUUCUCUAAGUACUUUAAGAGUCAAUUACUGGGGCACCUGGGUGGCUCAGUGGGUGAGCAUCUGCCUUCGGCUCAGGGCAUGAUCCUGGGGUCCUGGGAUCGAGUCCUGCAUUGGGCUCCCCGCAGGGAGCCUGCUUCUCCCUCUGCCUGUGUCUCUGCCUCUCUGUGUGUCUCUCAGGAAUAAAUAAAUAAAAUCUUGAAAGAAAAAAAAAAAG